AGUGAACGCUGGCGGUAGGCCUAACACAUGCAAGUCGAACGGCAGCACAGUAAGAGCUUGCUCUUACGGGUGGCGAGUGGCGGACGGGUGAGGAAUACAUCGGAAUCUACUUUUUCGUGGGGGAUCACGUAGGUAAACUUACGCUAAUACCGCAUACGACCUACGGGUGAAAGCAGGGGAUCUUCGGACCUUGCGCGAUUGAAUGAGCCGAUGUCGGAUUAGCUAGUUGGCGGGGUAAAGGCCCACCAAGGCGACGAUCCGUAGCUGGUCUGAGAGGAUGAUCAGCCACACUGGAACUGAGACACGGUCCAGACUCCUACGGGAGGCAGCAGUGGGGAAUAUUGGACAAUGGGCGCAAGCCUGAUCCAGCCAUACCGCGUGGGUGAAGAAGGCCUUCGGGUUGUAAAGACCUUUUGUUGGGAAAGAAAAGCAGCAGGUUAAUACCCCGCUGUUCUGACGGUACCCAAAGAAUAAGCACCGGCUAACUUCGUG
rnacentral:rRNA from 1 species